AUUGAACGCUGGCGGCAUGCCUUACACAUGCAAGUCGAACGGCAGCGCGGACUUCGGUCUGGCGGCGAGUGGCGAACGGGUGAGUAAUGCAUCGGAACGUGCCUUUCAGGUGGGGGAUAACGUAGCGAAAGUUACGCUAAUACCGCAUAUUCUGUGAGCAGGAAAGCAGGGGAUCGCAAGACCUUGCGCUGAUGGAGCGGCCGAUAUCUGAUUAGCUAGUUGGUGAGGUAAAGGCUCACCAAGGCGACGAUCAGUAGCUGGUCUGAGAGGACGACCAGCCACACUGGAACUGAGACACGGUCCAGACUCCUACGGGUGGCAG
rnacentral:rRNA from 1 species